rnacentral:rRNA from 1 species
AACGAACGCUGGCGGCGUGGAUAAGACAUGCAAGUCGAGCGGGAUUUUGUUCUGUAGCAAUACAGGAAAAAGUCUAGUGGCGAACGGGUGCGUAACACGUGAGCAACCUGCCGUGAAGUGGGGGAUAGCUCGCCGAAAGGCGAAUUAAUACCGCAUGUGGCCAAGGAAGACAUCUUCCUGACGCCAAAGCCGGGGCAACCUGGCGCUUCUCGAGGGGCUCGCGGCCUAUCAGCUUGUUGGUGAGGUAACGGCUCACCAAGGCUAUGACGGGUAGCGGGGCUGAGAGGACGACCAGCCACACUGGAACUGAGACACGGUCCAGACACCUACGGGUGGCAGCAGUCGAGAAUUUUUCACAAUGGGGGAAACCCUGAUGGAGCGACGCCGCGUGGAGGAUGAAGGUUUUCGGAUUGUAAACUCCUGUCAUUAGAGAACAAGGCACACGGUUUAACUGGCCGUGUGUUGAUAGUAUCUGAAGAGGAAGAGACGGCUAACUCUGUGCCAGCAGCCGCAGUAA